rnacentral:rRNA from 1 species
AUUGAACGCUAGCGGGAUGCUUUACACAUGCAAGUCGAACGGCAGCGCGGACUUCGGUCUGGCGGCGAGUGGCGAACGGGUGAGUAAUGUAUCGGAACGUGCCCAGUAGCGGGGGAUAACUACGCGAAAGCGUAGCUAAUACCGCAUACGCCCUACGGGGGAAAACAGGGGAUCGUAAGACCUUGCACUAUUGGAGCGGCCGAUAUCGGAUUAGCUAGUUGGUGAGGUAACGGCUCACCAAGGCGACGAUCCGUAGCUGGUUUGAGAGGACGACCAGCCACACUGGGACUGAGACACGGCCCAGACUCCUACGGGAGGCAGCAGUGGGGAAUUUUGGACAAUGGGGGCAACCCUGAUCCAGCCAUCCCGCGUGUGCGAUGAAGGCCUUCGGGUUGUAAAGCACUUUUGGCAGGAAAGAAACGUCGCGGGCUAAUACCCCGUGGAACUGACGGUACCUGCAGAAUAAGCACCGGCUAACUACGUG